AGAGUUUGAUCCUGGCUCAGGAUGAACGCUGGCGGCGUGCCUAAUACAUGCAAGUCGAACGCUUUGUAAAGGAGCUUGCUUCUUUACAGGGAGUGGCGAACGGGUGAGUAAUACAUAAGCAAUCUGCCCAUCGGCCUGGGAUAACAGUUGGAAACGACUGCUAAUACCGGAUAGGUGAUUGAGAGGCAUCUCUCGAUCAUUAAAGUUGGGAUACAACACGGAUGGAUGAGCUUAUGGCGUAUUAGCUAGUAGGUGAGGUAACGGCCCACCUAGGCGAUGAUACGUAGCCGACCUGAGAGGGUGACCGGCCACAUUGGGACUGAGACACGGCCCAAACUCCUACGGGAGGCAGCAGUAGGGAAUUUUCGGCAAUGGGCGAAAGCCUGACCGAGCAACGCCGCGUGAGUGAAGAAGGCCUUCGGGUUGUAAAGCUCUGUUGUGAAGGAAGAACGGCUCAUACAGGGAAUGGUAUGGGAGUGACGGUACUUUACCAGAAAGCCACGGCUAACUACGUGCCAGCAGCCGCGGUAAUACGUAGGUGGCGAGCGUUAUCCGGAAUUAUUGGGCGUAAAGGGUGCGCAGGCGGUUUGUUAAGUUUAAGGUGAAAGCGUGGGGCUUAACCCCAUAUAGCCUUAGAAACUGACAGACUAGAGUACAGGAGAGGGCAAUGGAAUUCCAUGUGUAGCGGUAAAAUGCGUAGAUAUAUGGAGGAACACCAGUGGCGAAGGCGGUUGCCUGGCCUGUAACUGACGCUCAUGCACGAAAGCGUGGGGAGCAAAUAGGAUUAGAUACCCUAGUAGUCCACGCCGUAAACGAUGAGAACUAAGUGUUGGGGAAACUCAGUGCUGCAGUUAACGCAAUAAGUUCUCCGCCUGGGGAGUAUGCACGCAAGUGUGAAACUCAAAGGAAUUGACGGGGGCCCGCACAAGCGGUGGAGUAUGUGGUUUAAUUCGACGCAACGCGAAGAACCUUACCAGGUCUUGACAUCCCCUGCAAAGCUAUGGAGACAUAGUGGAGGUUAUCAGGGAGACAGGUGGUGCAUGGUUGUCGUCAGCUCGUGUCGUGAGAUGUUGGGUUAA
rnacentral:rRNA from 1 species